AUUUCGCGCCCCCCUCUCUCGCUCACCACAAGAAUCCAAAAUCAUCACAGCAGAUAGAGAGAGAGAAGAGAGGGAAAGAAGAGAGAGAAAGAGGAGAAGAGACAGACCAUGGCCUCCGCCGUCGUUUGCAAGGGCGAGGGUACCGCGCCGGCCAGCCUCCUCAAGUCCGGUGCUCCCGUGGCCUUCUGCCCGCUCCGCUCCCCCGCCGUCACCACCCCCGCCGCCCGUACAGCACCCAGGACAAGGAGGUCAGCCGCCACGACGAAGACUACAGCGGCCGCGACCUCGUCAUCCCCAGCUUCUUCUCACAGGACGUGCUCGACCCGCUCGGCGCGCCGACCAGUAUGGCCCGUCUGCUGUCUCUCAUGGAGGACGUCGCAACUAAGACCGGCGGCCUCUCCUCCACUGCUGGUGCUGGGGCGUCGCGGCUCGGACGCUGGGUGGCCAAGGAGGACGACGACGCGGUGUACCUCAAGGUGCCGAUGCCGGGGCUGACCAAGGAGCACGUGAAGGUGCGCGCGGACAAGAACAUCCUGGUGAUCGAGGGCGAGGGCGAGAAGCAGCCCUGGGACGGCGACGACGACUCCGCGGUGCCGAGGUACAACCGCCGCAUCGAGGUGCCCGCUGACGCGUACAAGAUGGACAAGAUCAAGGCCGAGAUGAAGAAUGGCGUGCUCUGGGUCACCCUGCUCAAGGUCAAGGAGGAGGAGCGCAAGGACGUCUUCCACGUCAAGGUCGAGUAG
rnacentral:rRNA from 1 species